UCUACUACUUUGCUGCGAUCAACAACAUAAUAAUGAAAAACUGACAACAUUAGUAUGAAUUGCUUGAGAAUACAAAAAAAAAAGAAAAUAUUUUGGCUCAAAUGCUAAAAGUAGAAAAACAAAUUAAGUAAUGCCACCUGUUGGCGUGCGGUAUGGUGGCGUUGGCCUAUUUUGAAAUAUCCACAAUGAUUUUUUCGCCAUGAUAUUAGCAACAACCAAAACCUGAUAGAUUGUUACGAAUGUUGCAACGAAAGUGAAACAUAAAACCGCACUCAACGAACGCAUAACUCUCGGCGUCGAAUUCUCUUUUUUACCCAUUCAAUUCCAACAAAAAUAAAAAUAUUUAAGUAAAAGAGGGUCCGUCAAUAAGUGAGUAUAAUGCGUCACGUAGGCUAUUUAUGAUAUUCAGAUGUUUUACAUUCAUAAGAGGUAGUCGUUUCGAAACGGGUAGCUAAAUGUAGGUUAACUUUGGAUACUUGACGUAAAUAUUUUAA